AACUCGUCCAAGGUUACUCAGCCGGUUAGUGGCCUGAUUGGGACUGGACUCAAGCUCUCCUGAGCGCCCUUGGGCUUACAUGCAACUCCUCCAAGGAGGCGAAUGCUGAUGCAGUCCUUUUAGACCUAUUUAUGGUUUGAGGCCUGUGCCGUUAUAAGGUCUAACUUAUGUGGGGUGGACAGUUGGAUUCGUUUUAGACCCUAUCCAUAGCUCUCAGGUACUUGAAAGAAUAGAAGUGUUUCAUCCUGCCAUCACAACCGUGAACCAGAACGAAUGUGUGUACAGCCAUGAAGGAUCCUGGUUCUUAGCCUUUUUUAGUUAUAAGCUCUCAAAGAAAGUAAUGAAAACUUUUCUGUAGCAAAAUGCACAUAAAGAAAGUGUGCAUACGGUUUCUUGACUUCCCCUCACACUGGUACAGGAGCUCCAGGGGGAGAACUUCCUGAAUUGUUACAUUUUCACCAUAUUGACCUAGGGUUAAUUGAAUGCAGCUAGCUUAUAGAGCUCUUUACCAUAUAGCUUGAGUUUGUGGAAAAAUUGCAACUCUGUUCUUGCUGAGAAGUUCCAACCAAGAGUUAGCAAGUUUCCUCGUGGUCUAGUGGUUAGGAUUUGGUGCUUUCACUGUCAUGGCCUGAGUUCAAUCCCUGGUUGGGGAACUGAGAUUCCACAAGCCACGCAAUGUGCAAAAAAAAAAAAAAAAAAUUAGGUUGGCCAACUCCCUUUAAUCCUUAAAAAAGGAGGAAGAGGUCUUUCUCUGCCAGAAAGAUCUGCAGUUCUAAAAUUGGAAGUGUGGGGACACCGUUCCUUACCCAUUCUGUGACUAGCUGAUUUCCCAUGGUUUAGUAGUCCUUCUAAUCUCAGCCUUUUGCUUCAUCUAUCAGGUGAUGAAGAACUGCCCUGUGUAUAACUUUAUUAGGAAUCAGUGAAGGUUAAGUGAGAUGAUGUCCAUGAAAAUCUUUGGAUCAUCUUUAUGAGGAUUACCCAUAUGAUCCACAGUUCUGUUUCACUCCAAGCCAACUUUCUCCUGUCUUCUUAUCAGUUUGCUGAGACACCUCCUCUACGUAACAUCAGUCAUGAUAUGAUAUUACUAGUGAGGGCAAAUGGAUUUUUAAAGUAGCUGGAAUAACAUGCUGGGAAGAUAAAUGUUUUGCAGCAAAGUUCCAGUCAAACGUAAGAUCCUUACCACAACCAACUGAAAUGAUUUUUUAGUUGAGCUGUAGGUGCUAUGUAGUCGCUAUCAAAAGCACUCAACGCUGUCAUGCAUUCAAGAGAUGCUCCUGAGGCACUAUAAUGUGAGUGUUUAGCACUCAGACUCCAGAAACUGACUGCCUUAGUUCAUAACCCAACUCCGCCACUUCUUAGCUUGUGUGAUUUACUUUGCUUUUAUGUAAAAUGGGGCUAGUAAUUGUACCUGUCUCAUAAAUAGCUUUUGGGAGGUCUUAGUGAGUUGAUACAUGUUAAGUACUAGUAACACUGCCUGGCAUAUUGUAUGUGUUAUAUAUAUAUGUACAUUGGGUAUUUUCUGUUUAGCGUGUGUUUUGUACUAAGGGAAUGGUUCUUGGUCCUUGGCCUAUUAGGGAAGAAAGACUUUAAUCAGUUAAUUUCACAAACAGAUGUAAACUUGUAAAAGUGGGAGAUGCCAAGGAAUCACCCAGCCAGGAGGCUCAGGGAAAGAAAGUGUACCUGAGAAAGGAAGGAGUUAUUCAGGUGAAGAAGGGAAUAACAACAUGUGCAAAGGCCCUGUGGUGGGAGGGAGCUUGGGGAUUAUAAGGAACUGCAGGAAGGCCAGUAUGCCCAAAGUAUAGGGAACAAGGAAUUGAGAUAAAGCUAGAGUGUUGAGUAAGGGAAAGACCAUAUGAGGCCCUUGCAUGCCAUGCAAAUGCUUCUGUCUAUAUCCUAAGACCAAAGGGCAGCUAAUCAAAGGUUUUAAAAAGGUUGGUGGUUGUAAUGUGAGAUUAAGACUGGAAAGAGGGACGAGCAGAUGCAAGGAAACCAAUUAGGAGGCCAUUGCAGUAAUCCAGAUAUGAGAUGUUAUUUGUAGAAAGGAGAAGGGUAGAAGUAAUAGUGGAAAUAGGGAUAGAUUUUGAACUUGGUAAUUAAUUAGAAGGAGAGGGAGGUGUUACUCGUGCUUGCUAGAUUUCUGGAUGGUGAUGCCAUUUGCAGUGUUUACCAAGCACGAGGAAUUGGAGGCCAUGUGGUUUAGCAGAAUGUGGAGAGAUGCACAGGGUCUUUUGGUUGUAUUUCUUGAGCUGUGUAUGGGGUACAUGGGUUUUAAUAUGCUAUUCUCUAUAACAGGAGUAUUCAUGUCCAGUGAACAAAAUCUGAAACUAAAGAGAGAAACUGAAUUUCAGUCUUACUCUGCCACUUCCUGCUGUUUGAUACUGAACAAGUUGCUUAACCUCUUAGACCUGUGAAAUGGGAGAAUCUCUGCCACACCACUCGGUGGUCUGAGCAUGAAUGGGAGCUGUGAAGUGCUUGGUGCAAAUGUCUCAUGCUGGGAGAUGUUCACCAGUAUCUGUUAGACACGUGAAUUAGUGAAUGGAUGAGAUCAGAUGGCAUUCCCUGGCUCAGUCCCCCCACUAAGCCACCAUGCUUAUGUGUGUGGAGACUGGCUGUGAGGGGAGAAGCAGUUAGGCUGUGACCUGAUGCCUUUUCCUCCUGAGCAAAGCUGGCUGACCUCGGAGGGGCACAUGCAACACGUCUUUAUGGGUCGUGAGAAGUGACGGUCUAGCUUUGUAAAAGGCACUUUAUAACUUCCUUCACCCUGUUUUCCAGUGUUAUUCACACUAGCGCUCAUGUGUACCGUUGGUCCAAUCAAGCCGGCCAUAUCAUUUCAUCCUGCAUAAGUGCUCAGCACUAUUUUAGGCCUGUCCCCUGCCUAGAGUUCCAUCCUUGUCUCUCCCAGUCUUCAAGUCAUGCACAAGUUUGUUACUUUGUUCAUUCAUUCAUCUACAUGAAUUUAUUAGAUGUACCCCCCCACCUCCCAGAUUAUUGCAGUUUAUAACAUGGGGAUGGGAUAAAGUCCAUAAGAAAGGUUCAAACCAGAUGCUGUCAUGGAGCUUAAAUAUCAGAGGAGGAGGAGAGAUUUUUUUUCCUGGUUUAUGAGAAUGCUUAGUAGACAAGGGGGCUUUGAGCUGAACUUUGAAGGAUUGGAGAACUUUGUAAAUAUAGAGAUUGCAGUGAAGCCUUCUCUAAGGCAGUGGACAUUUAUAUCUUCACUUACUAACAGGGUGAUCUUGAGAAUGCUUAUUCGAUGCCUUUGUGUCUCAGUUUCCUCACCUGUAAAAUGGGGAUAAUAGUUUUAGCCAGGGUUGGCUUAUGGGUAUGAGACUUGUACAGUCACACAGAUGCUUAGAAAUGCUGGCCCCUCACUUGGUUUAAUGCUCUGCUGUCACCAUGUUGAACUUCUUAAUAAUUUUUAAACAAGUGGCCCUGCAACGUGUGUCCUGAUCUUGCCUCGUAGGGAUUAUUGCAGAGUCCUGAGAAGAGGGCCUGGCAGUGAUGAGGGUUCAGUAAACGCUAGCUGUUAUUGUUAUUAUCCUCUGAACUCUUAUAACAGUAUAGCUCCCAGUGCACCUCAUGGUUUAUUUAACUUUUAAAUAAUCAACAGAUUUGUUUUGUUUUGUUUUUGUCUUUGUUUUUUUUCUUUAAAAACUUUUAUUGAGAUACAAUUGACAUACAAUAAAUUGCAUAUAUGUAAAGUGCACAAUUUGAUUUUUUUUUCUUAUUAGUAAUGCAUAUAUGGCAAUCCCAAUCUCCCAAUUCAUUACCCCCACAAACCCCUGCGCUUUCCCCACUUGGUGUCCAUAUGUUUGUUCUCUACAUCUGUGUCUCUAUUUCUGCCUUGCAAACCGGUGGAUUUGUACCAUUUUUCUAUAUUCGGCAUAUAUGUGUUAAUGUACGAUAUUUGUUUUUCUCUUUCUGACUCACUUCACUCUUUAUGACAGUCUCUAGGUCCAUCCAUGUCUCUACAAAUGUCCCAAUUUCGUUCCUUUUUACAGCAAUCAACAGAUAUUUUUGAGUGCCUAUUCUGUAAAGGUACUGGAUGGGUCACAAGGAUGAAUAGGACAGUACUUCCUCCCCUAGUUGGCAGAAUAAAGCAUGUAUUUUAAACAUACUGAUUAGUAAUAAAUAAUAAAAUAUGUCAUAUGACAAGUAUAGAAAUUUUUAAAAAAUAGAUUUUGGGGCUCCACCUUUAGAGAAUCUUAUUGGUAGCUCUGGUGUGGGGCUUCAGAAUCAGUUCCCCAGGUGAUUUUAUUUUAUUUUUUCUUAAGAUUUUUUUUUAAAAAGUGUGGACCAUUUUUAAAGUCUUUAUUGAAUUUGUUACAAUAUUGCUUCUGUUUUACAUUUUGGUGUUUUGCCGGUGAGGCACGUGGGAUCUCUGCACCCCCUGCAUUGGAAGGUGAGGUCUUAACUACUGGACUGCCAGGGAAGUCCUCCCCAGCUUGACGGAUCUUAGUUCCCUGACCAAGGAUUGAACCCGGGCUCCCCAGGCAGUGGAAGCGCCGAGUCCUAACCACUGGACCACCGGGAAUUCCCAGAAACUACAUUCUUGGUUGGGAUUUGGGAGAAAGGCUGGAGAGAAGCAUGGUGGACUUCUCUGGUGGUCUAGUUGUAAAGAAUCCCCCUACCAGUGCAGGGGAUGCAGAUUGGAUCCCUGGUCGGGGAGCUAAGAUCCCACAUGCUGCAGGGCAACUAAGGCUGAGUGCUACAGCUACUGAGCUGCCGCACCUCAACUAGAGAGCGUGCUGCAAGCUACAGAGCCCACACGCCCUGGAGGCUGCGUGCCACCAGAGAAGAGAAAACCUGUAUGCUACAACUAGAGAGAAGCCCGCAUGCUGCAACAAAGAGCCUGAGUGCUGCAACUGUAUGUUCCAGUUUUUCUUCAGUGAACAGAUAUACAGCUGGGCCAGAGCCUUUAUUUUGGUUUCCACAGGGAGGAACAGCAAAAGCAAGAAUUUAAUUCUGGAGUGUGAGCAGGAACCAGUUAACUACAUUCAUUGUCCAACCCCCACUGGCUUGAAAGAAGACUCCAAAUUCUUGGCAUAUGAAUCAGCUGUUCGGUCGCUCCACCUUAUCCCUGCGCGAA